rnacentral:piRNA from 1 species
CUUUAGGGUGAGGGUAGAGCAGAGUUU